GGAUGUGAGGGCGAUCUGGCUGCGACAUCUGUCACCCCACUGACUGCCAGGGUUGAUUCAGCUGAUUUCGUUGGCUAGUCCCCUUAGAUAGAUCAGUUCUAAGAUAGAUCAGACAUGGUCCCUUUCUACAAAAAUCAUAAAGUCUGCUGAGAAAAUUAGUGCUCAAAAGUGUAACUAAAUACCUGUGGUAAGUGCCUUACUAGGGGAAUAAACUAAAUAUCAAAGCAGGUGUCCCCUUCUUCCCUUACCACUCCAUUUGCUGUGCGCUCGGUUGAAGAGGAUGACCAUCCCUGAUAGAGGAGGAUCGGUCCUUGGUCAAGGGUAUAUGAGUAGCUGUCCUCCUCUGCUAGAACUUUUAGACAAGCUCUCAAGAAGCUAGGACUGUUACCAUAAAGUCAUUCUGACCUGCUGAUUUUUCUGGGAAUGAUUCCAGU
rnacentral:snRNA from 1 species